rnacentral:lncRNA from 1 species
CGAGCCCUGCCCCUCUGGAAGGCAGCUAAGGCCCGGCGACAAAUUGAGCACAGCAGCUGCUGGCCCAGGUGCUAAGCCCCUCACUGCCCGGGCCAGUGGGGCCGGCCGGCUGCUCCGAGUGCGGGGUCCGCCGAGCCCACGCCCACCCGGAACUCGCGCUGGCUCGCAAGCACCGCGCGCAACCCCGGUUCCCGCCCGUGCCUCUCCCUCCACACCUCCCCGGAAGCUGAGGGAGCCGGCUCCGGCCUUGGCCAGCCCAGCAAGGCGCUCCCACAGUGCAACGGCGGGCUGAAGGGGCUCCUCAAGUGCCGCCAAAGCGGGAGCCCAGGCAGAGGAGACGCCCAGAGCCAGCGAGGGCUGUGAGGACUGCCAGCACACUGUCACCUCUCAGUAACAUGUUGUAGAGGCUGGGAAGUCCAAGGUCAUGGUGCCAACAGACUUGGUGUCUGGAGAGGGCUGCUCUCUGCUUCCAACAUGGUGUCUUCUCGCAGUGUCAUGUCCUCCUGACGGAAGGAAUGCUGUGUCUCACAUGGUGACAGGAAUUGAAGGACAAAAAUGGCUGAACACUUUGUGAAGCCUCAUUUAUAAAUGUCUUAAUCUCAUUCGUGAGGACUCUACCCUCAUGAAAACUUAAUCACUUCCUAAAGGACUUGCCUCUUAAUACUAUCACAUUAUCAAUUAAGUUUCAACACAUGACUUGAGGGACAUUCAGACCAUAGUACUUCCCUAGUUAGGAGACUAAACAAAGACAGGAGCAAGAAGAGGAGUCUCAUUUGCAGAAGAAAUGUCUGUUUCUCACUUGGCAUUGCAUAAGACUUAUCUGAGAGUGCCCAAUGUCACACAUCUAUGGUAAGAAGAGAAGAUACUGAUCAGAAGGGCCUGGAGGCUUUAUGAAGCAACAGUCUGAAAAGUCCUUGCAGGAAAUAGGCAAGGCUAUCCUGGAAGGACUCCUAGAUACAUGGCCUGGAUACAGCAAGAGGUGAAUGUCCUGGGUGCCUACAGCAGAGGCACACUUGGUAGUGUAGGCCUGCUAUCAACCCUACACCCUUGAAUCCUACAGACCAUUGGCAUGACAGCAGACAGAUCACUGGCAGGCAAGAUUUGAUGGAAGAACCAUGUAUCCGCCGCAAACGCAAGACUCAUCCGAGGAGCACUAGUAGCCUAGAGCCCUGAAUUCAUCCUGUGCCUGAUGUGAAAGUCACCCAAAAUCAACAUUUCUGUACCAUUCUGGUGGCCCAAUCUCAUAUAAUCACUUGAAAGGAAUAGCACACUGACUAAUCAAAGCCAUCAGCUCAUCAGCCACUGUUCCGGAAUCGAGGUCCACCCAUGGACUCCCAGAAGAACCCCUUAAGUAUUAGUACUGGAACUCCUCUAUGCACUUGAUCCACAUAAAGUACGUGUGUGUGGGCAGGGAGGGCUUGUAGAGGAUCAGAAAGUGCCUUACAGGAGAGAAACAGAGACCAAGACUAGGGAACCCUUUCUGCUGGAGGGGCAUCUAGACAUUUUGAAGAAACACACGAAAGAAUAGAGCCCCUGAGGUCACAUCCAGAUUUCAGUUUCUCUUCGGGAGUCUAAGAGACUGUUGUGAGCCCAGAUUUUCACAUUUUCUUCCUCUGGCUGAAAUGGUUGGAUUUAGACAGUGUGGAGGCAAACUUACUGUAUGGAUUAAUAACUUUUGUGCAAGUAACAGAUAUUUGUCUAGCCUUCCUUAAGUCAAAUAAGAAUGUAUCAUAAGAGUGUAGAGAUAUCUAAUAAAAAUCCAAGGGCAGAAAUAUGGGUGGAGCACAGAAAAGAACUGGAACGAAUGAUUUAAAACUGUUCAGAUAUAGCUUUAGGUAUUUCUCAUCUCUACUCCUCUUUUGCAUUUGUUUUCCUUUGUCCCUCUGCAGACUCUUUCUCUGCUCCUUUGUCCACAUGGAAAAACAUGGAUCAAGCACAGUUUUCCAGUUUAUAUAUUGGAGGUCCAGACUUUUGUAGCAUUAGGUCCAAGUUGGAAGUGGUUCUAACUCUAAAUUUCUGAAAAAGAGAGUCCGAUUGGCUAAACAUUGGUUAGUUGUCCACCUCUGGUUCAGUCAGCUGUUUCUAAGGGCAAGAGAUGACAUGGCAGGUUUAUAACACCCAGGGCCACAUUAUUGUAAGACAAUGGGAGGUUGUCACAGAGAAGUUUCUGGAGUCCCUCUUCUCACAGACUUUAGGCUUGCUCUACAAGGCCACCUGCCUUCCUGGUUCUCAGGUGGCUGGAAGUCUCUAGCCAUGCCCAAUGUAUCUAGGUCAUCACAACCAUCUAAAGAACCCACUGUACUGUUGCAAGACCACAAUUCCUCCAGCUUGUCUGUUCCAUGAAAUACCAUUUAUUUUCUUCCUUUCAAAAGGCUAUAAAUAGGAGAAAGUGGGGGG